UAAUACGUAGAUGGCGAGCGUUAUCCGGAUUUAUUGGGCGUAAAGAGGGCGCAGGUGGCUUUUCAAGUCGGAUGUAAAAUCUCCCGGCUCAACUGGGAGGGAUCAUGCGAUACUGUUAAGCUAGAGGGCAACAGGGGGAGGUAGAAUUCCCGGUGUAGUGGUGAAAUGCGUAGAUAUCGGGAGGAAUACCAGUGGCGAAGGCGGCCUCCUGGGUUGUUUCUGACACUUAAGCCCGAAGGCGUGGGGAGCAAACAGGAUUAGAUACCCUGGUAGUCCACGCCGUAAACGAUGGACACUAGGUAUGGGGGGUAUCGACCCCCUCUGUGCCGAAGCUAACGCGUUAAGUGUCCCGUCUGGGAACUACGGCCGCAAGGCUA
rnacentral:rRNA from 1 species